rnacentral:misc_RNA from 1 species
GAUGAAGAACGUAGUGAAAUGCGAUAAGUAAUGUGAAUUGCAGAAUUCAGUGAAUCAUCGAAUCUUUGAACGCACAUUGCGCCUGCCAGUAUUCUGGCGGGCAUGCCUGUUCGAGCGUCAUUUCAACCAUCAAGCCCCCGGCUUGUGUUGGGGACCUGCGGCUGCCCGCAGGCCCUGAAAACCAGUGGCGGGCUCGCUGUCACUCCGAGCGUAGUAGCAUAUAUCUCGCUCAGGGCGUGCUGCGGGUUCCGGCCGUUAAAAGCCUUUUUUUACCCAAGGUUGACCUCGGAUCAGGUAGGAAGACCCGCUGAACUUAAGCAUAUCAAUAAGCGGAGGA